GAUGAACGCUGGCGGCGUGCUUAACACAUGCAAGUCGAACGGAAAGGCACUGCUUGCAGGGUGCUCGAGUGGCGAACGGGUGAGUAACACGUGGGUGAACUGCACCUUACUUUUGGAUAAGCCUGGGAAACUGGGUACAAUACUGGAUAGGACCAUGCUGCAGGUGGUGUGGUGGAAAGAUUUGCUUCGGUAGGGGAUGAGCUCGCGGCCUAUCAGCUUGUUGGAGGGGUAAUGGCCUACGAAGGCGUCGACGGGUAGCCGGCCUGAGAGGGUGGACGGCCACGUUGGGACUGAGAUACGGCCCAGACGCCGGCGGGAGGCGACAGUGGGGAAAAGCGCGCAAUGGGCGCAAGCCGGAUGCGGCGACGCCGCGUGGGGUAUGACGGCCUUCGGUUUGUAAACUCCUUUCGGCCAUGACGAAGCCCUUGUGGUGACGGUAGUGUUAGAAGAAGCACCGGCUAACUACGUG
rnacentral:rRNA from 1 species